UACAGAGGGUGCGAGCGUUAAUCGGAAUUACUGGGCGUAAAGCGUGCGUAGGUGGUCUUUUAAGCUGGAUGUGAAAGCCCCGGGCUUAACCUGGGAACUGCAUUCAGGACUGGGAGACUCGAGUCUGGGAGAGGGUGGUGGAAUUUCCGGUGUAGCGGUGAAAUGCGUAGAUAUCGGAAGGAACAUCAGUGGCGAAGGCGACCGCCUGGCCUAAGACUGACACUGAGGCACGAAAGCGUGGGGAGCAAACAGGAUUAGAUACCCCCGUAGUCC
rnacentral:rRNA from 1 species